AUUGAACGCUGGCGGCAGGCCUAACACAUGCAAGUCGAGCGGAUGAAGGGAGCUUGCUCCUGGAUUCAGCGGCGGACGGGUGAGUAAUGCCUAGGAAUCUGCCUGGUAGUGGGGGAUAACGUCCGGAAACGGGCGCUAAUACCGCAUACGUCCUGCGGGAGAAAGUGGGGGAUCUUCGGACCUCACGCUAUCAGAUGAGCCUAGGUCGGAGUAGCUAGUUGGUGGGGUAAAGGCCUACCAAGGCGACGACCCGUAACUGGUCUGAGAGGAUGAUCAGUCACACUAGAACUGAGACGCGGUCCAGACUCCUACGGGAGGCAGCAGUGGGGAAUGUUGGACAGUGGGCGAGAGCCUGAUCCAGCCGGGCCGCGUGUGUGAAGAAGGUCUUCGGAUUGGAAAGCACUUUAAGUUGGGAGGAAGGGCAGUAAGUUAAUACCUUGCUGUUUUGACGUUACCAACAGAAUAAGCACCGGCUAACUUCGUG
rnacentral:rRNA from 1 species